rnacentral:SRP_RNA from 14 species
UGAGCCGCCCACCGAGUGCCUCACGCCCGAAUCGAUGCCCCAGAAUCGGAGGUGGGGUGGGAUGGGCACAGGGUCGCGCAACGUGGCAGGCUGGCAGAG